UGGGGAAUAUUGGACAAUGGGCGAAAGCCUGAUCCAGCCAUGCCGCGUGUGUGAAGAAGGUCUUCGGAUUGUAAAGCACUUUAAGUUGGGAGGAAGGGCAUUAACCUAAUACGUUAGUGUUUUGACGUUACCGACAGAAUAAGCACCGGCUAACUCUGUGCCAGCAGCCGCGGUAAUACAGAGGGUGCAAGCGUUAAUCGGAAUUACUGGGCGUAAAGCGCGCGUAGGUGGUUUGUUAAGUUGGAUGUGAAAUCCCCGGGCUCAACCUGGGAACUGCAUUCAAAACUGACUGACUAGAGUAUGGUAGAGGGUGGUGGAAUUUCAUGUGUAGCGGUGAAAUGCGUAGAUAUAGGAAGGAACACCAGUGGCGAAGGCGACCACCUGGACUAAUACUGACACUGAGGUGCGAAAGCGUGGGGAGCAAACA
rnacentral:rRNA from 1 species